rnacentral:rRNA from 1 species
GACGAACGCUGGCGGCGUGCCUAAUACAUGCAAGUCGAACGCUUCUUUCCUCCCGAGUGCUUGCACUCAAUUGGAAAGAGGAGUGGCGGACGGGUGAGUAACACGUGGGUAACCUACCCAUCAGAGGGGGAUAACACUUGGAAACAGGUGCUAAUACCACAUAACAGUUUAUGCCGCAUGGCAUAAGAAUGAAAGGCGCUUUCGGGUGUCGCUGAUGGAUGGACCCGCGGUGCAUUAGCUAGUUGGGGAGGUAACGGCUCAACAAGGCCACGAUGCAUAGCCGACCUGAGAGGGGGAUCGGCCACACUGGGACUGAGACACGGCCCAGACUCCUACGGGAGGCAGCAGUAGGGAAUCUUCGGCAAUGGACGGAAGUCUGACCGAGCAACGCCGCGUGAGUGAAGAAGGUUUUCGGAUCGUAAAACUCUGUUGUUAGAGAAGAACAAGGACGUUAGUAACUGAACGUCCCCUGACGGUAUCUAACCAGAAAGCCACGGCUAACUACGUGCCAGCAGCCGCGGUAA